UAGCCUAGAUCUGGCCCCAGCAUCCUGU
rnacentral:piRNA from 1 species